GAUGAACGCUGGCGGCGUGCCUAAUACAUGCAAGUCGAGCGAACGGACGAGAAGCUUGCUUCUCUGAUGUUAGCGGCGGACGGGUGAGUAACACGUGGAUAACCUACCUAUAAGACUGGGAUAACUUCGGGAAACCGGAGCUAAUACCGGAUAAUAUUUUGAACCGCAUGGUUCAAAAGUGAAAGACGGUCUUGCUGUCACUUAUAGAUGGAUCCGCGCUGCAUUAGCUAGUUGGUAAGGUAACGGCUUACCAAGGCAACGAUGCAUAGCCGACCUGAGAGGGUGAUCGGCCACACUGGAACUGAGACACGGUCCAGACUCCUACGGGAGGCAGCAGUAGGGAAUCUUCCGCAAUGGGCGAAAGCCUGACGGAGCAACGCAGCGUGAGUGAUGAAGGUCUUCGGAUCGUAAAACUCUGUUAUUAGGGAAGAACAUAUGUGUAAGUAACUGUGCACAUCUGGACGGUACCUAAGCAGAAAGCCACGGCUAACUACGU
rnacentral:rRNA from 1 species